AGAGUUUGAUCCUGGCUCAGGAUGAACGCUAGCGGCAGGCCUAAUACAUGCAAGUCGAACGGGCUGGAGUAGCAAUACUCCAGUUAGUGGCGCACGGGUGCGUAACGCGUAUGCAACCUACCUUUUAUUGGGGGAUAGCCCGAAGAAAUUCGGAUUAAUACCGCAUAAUAUCCUUUGAGGGCAUCUGAAGGGGAUUAAAGCUACGGCGAUAAAAGAUGGGCAUGCGUGUCAUUAGCUAGUUGGUUGAGGUAACGGCUCACCAAGGCGACGAUGACUAGGGGUUCUGAGAGGAUGAUCCCCCACACUGGUACUGAGAUACGGACCAGACUCCUACGGGAGGCAGCAGUAGGGAAUAUUGGGCAAUGGCGGAAACGCUGACCCAGCCAUGCCGCGUGCAGGAUGAAGGCCUUCUGGGUUGUAAACUGCUUUUACCAGGGAAGAAAAUACCUUUGCGAAGGGAACUGACGGUACCUGGUGAAUAAGCACCGGCUAACUCCGUGCCAGCAGCCGCGGUAAUACGGAGGGUGCAAGCGUUGUCCGGAUUUAUUGGGUUUAAAGGGUGCGUAGGCGGCGUAAUAAGUCCGUGGUGAAAGCCAACAGCUCAACUGUUGAACUGCCAUGGAUACUGUUAGGCUUGAGUACAGACGAGGUAGGCGGAAUGGAUCGUGUAGCGGUGAAAUGCAUAGAUACGAUCCAGAACUCCGAUUGCGAAGGCAGCUUACUAGGCUGUAACUGACGCUGAGGCACGAAAGCGUGGGGAGCGAACAGGAUUAGAUACCCUAGUAGUCC
rnacentral:rRNA from 1 species